GCACAUUUGUUUUUAAAUAUAAAGCAGAAAAUACAAUAACAAAAGACUUGUCAUUACUGUACAAAACUAGAAAGUAAAAGACGACAUAAAAUGAAGGAUAAACACAAAUCUCCUUAAGCAACUCCUGACUGGAUGGUCACGGGGUGUCUGCCAUGCUCAAACUUCGGUAAAGAAAUCCACACCUGUAUAAGAAAACUUUAAAUCAAUACUAUGUGAGACAAUAACACUCUCUACUGGACACAUGGAAGACAUGGUUGAAGCUAUUUUUGCAAACUGGCUUAUUUGGCCAAAAGGUGGCUAGAAGUGCAAAAUCUGGCUAUGACCCCGCAAAGCCAAGAACCUAAGAUUUACUAGGAAGACUGGACCCAUAUGUGGGUUGCCUACGUAUCACGCCCCGAAAGACGAGAAUCAGGUAUGCGUAGUUCGGGCAGAUUGGAUACGGGCGAGAAUAAUAAAAAAAACAACUAACAUAUAGAAAACACAUUUUUUUCCUUUUUUUUCGAAAAAUGAUUAAACAUAUAAAAUCUUUUUGGAUUUUAUUUUCUUUUUUUUCGAUUUUUGAAAAAUGAUAAAAAGUGCAAAAUCUUUUUGAAGUUUCCAUGCUCUUUUUUUCUUAAUAAAAUGUAACAAAAAUAUAAUUGGGCCCUACUCGCUUCAUCCUCACACUUCAACCUCUCUUUUCUUUUUUUCUUUUUUUUCUCUUUUUUUUUCAUUCGCCCUCAAUUAUCAUUGGUCCGCCAAAUAACCCUUUUACCCUUGAAGAAAUGCAACAUGUAGCACAUAGGAUGCAUCAAGAUGGCCUGUUAUUUUGGGUACACCUGUUCUAGACGGACCCAACCCCUGUGUUGAGUCUCCAAAGUCAAAUGCACAUGAUGCAGAUAAGCGUUCCUACUAGGGAUCCGGCAUGAGGCUUUGUUAUACUAGGUUUAAAACCUGAGUUUAUUGUUCUAGAUCUGGCUUACCUGAGCGGACAACUCGAGCCGAGGGGGGUUGCGUACCGGUAACCAAAAGAUCAUCCGGCUUUGCAACUUGCCCGAACCUCGUUCUAUUUGGGAUACGACACUAACAGAAAGAAGUCACGACCAGCGUGCACUCCUCAGGAGAGAGAAUUGAGGGGUUUCGUAGCAGUUUAUAUAUACAGUUCAGAUAAUAUCAAAGCGGUAAAAGCAACAUUUACCACAUUAGGCCCAAACAUGUAAUAAAAUCAUAUAAUGGAUAAAACCAAAUACAACAAUUCAUCUAAGCUCAAAUUCUGAACCCUGAACCAGAGAUUCUGGGUUCGAUCCCCAGCAGAGUCACCAGAGCUGUCACACCUCCCUUUUCACUACACCCCCGAGAGGGGGUAUAUAAGGGAGUUUUUCCAAUUUAAGUGAAAUCGAAACGGGAUUAUUUUUAUUUAAAAUUCAGAGUCGCCACUUGGGAUAAUUUGUGGUGUCCCAAGUUACCGGUUUAAAUCCCGAAUCGAGGAAAGAUUGACUCUGUUCUAUAGUCCGCGAACACAGAGAUUCGGGUAAGGAAUUCUGUUAACCCGGGAGAAGGUGUUAGGCAUUCCCGAGUUCCAUGGUUCUAGCACAGUCGCUCAACUGUUACUAUUGGCAUAAUUAUCUGAUUUUAUAACAUUUUGAACCUACGUGCAAUUUUAACUUUUUAACCGCUUUUACUUAUUUUAAGGAAGAUUAAACAUUACAUGAAACACGUCUUGAACUACGUCACAUAAAUGCACCCGCAGUCCGCAACACAUUUUAUCUAACAUUGUUGAGAUUUAGAUUUGGGUCACAUAAAUGCGCACCCAAGUUUAAUAAAACAAAAGAAAAUAAAUAUAAAAUAACGCGCCUAAAGCAAACUACGAUAAUAAGCAAUGAAUAUAAAGAAACCCAACUAAUUAAAUCGAACCUGUUAUAUAAUUCAAGCUUAAGUCCAUUUAGUUAAGGUAAAUAUCUAACUAGCCUACUUCGAAACUCAUAAGCAAAAAUCUCAUUAUCACUUUAAUUGCAUCUACGAAUCUGGCAACAAGACUCAAGCAAAUUUCAUUGGAAUAUCAAAGGAUAUCACAAAGAAUCGUGCAAAACCAUAUAAGCAACAUCAUUUCGACAAGUUUUAAUCCAAAAGAACAAUUAACUAAACGGAUCAUAUGCAUUCACACUUCUAAUAAAAAUAAUAAUUGGCUAAUUCAUGUUUGUUCCCAAAGACUGCAUCGAUGAAGACUUCAACAUAAAGGAACCAAAUUAAGAGAGCCUCAAACAAGCAAUGAAACAAGCGCAACAACUACAUGGUAUUUAUACUCAUCAAAACUUAAUGACUAGGAAACAGAGAGGAGAUUUAAGAUUAAAGAAAGAAAUUGUCCUCGAUACAAAGAAAUUUGGUUCUGAAAACGAUUAACACUAGAAAAUUUGGACAGCGAUAACUCGACGGAACCCAAAUCCGUCUGAAAACCUUGCCGGAAAUCUCCGACCUCGAACGGAUUUUCAGAACUCGAACAACAACUAUUGAAAGCAAGGAAACAGUUCGAAGUACCAAAUAAAAGCCGGAAAUGAGCUGGAAUGGGCGACGCCACCUCGCCGGAAACCUCAACGAACCCAACAACCUCGACGAAUGCUUUCAGGUUUAGCAGAAGCUUGAAAUUUCAAAAUGGAAAUCAACAAUCUGGACCGAUUUUUGAGUCUAAGAGUGCGCUUGAGUUGACAACUUGGACUGAAUUUCAAAGUGACUUAUGGAAAAAGCCAAAUUUCCAUCACUGUUUCAUUUCUUCACUUCCACCUCUAUCUGCCAAAGAAAUCUUUAAGUGAAAGGAAGAGAGAUUUAGCCGUUGCCUUUUGUCUGGGAGGUGGAGUUCGAUCGUUUUCUCCAAAUCAAAAAGAGAAUGAAUUUUUUUGAUUGGGUAGGUCAACCGUGCUCUCUUGGGAGCUCCGGUCCCCUUUGGAUUGAAGAGGAAGCUCCUUUUUCUUUUUGGU
rnacentral:lncRNA from 1 species